UUUUUUGAAUGACUACAAUUUCAUUAUUUUAACUAAAAUUGCAUUUUAUACAGGGCUAGAAUUUCGUAGUUGAUUGGAAUCAUAGGCAUGCAACCAUAACGACCAGUUUACAUGCCAUUUUUGCAAUAUUCGACACUUCUACAUCAAUCAAAGAAGAGCAUCCUGUGAGAAGAAGAAAACCCUCGACACAGAGUAUUCCGAAGAAAACCCUCGAUACAGAGUAUUUCGAACAAAACAAUCUUUCUCUGUCUCCUUGUGUUUCCUAUCAUUUCAUUCACUUAAUGUGUAAAUCAGACAGAUCGGAAUUACCGCCAGUGGGAUAUCGAUUUAUUCCUUACAGGAACCAUGUGAAUGACAUUCAAGAGGAGUUCCAAAUGGCUUUUCCCUUUCAGAUUUCAGAAAUACUGCACGGAUUAAGGAUCGUUAAAUGGCAUAUUAGAUGUUUUGCAGCGAGGAACUUCAGAGUUAUGUCCUGAUGUCAGUUAUCUCAGCUGGUGACCAGUUCUAAAAGCGACACAAUCAAAAUGAUAUCACUCCUGAAGACGAACCACUGUUCUCACUGGUGAACACAAUAACUACAGAUUUUGUAUUUGAAUGCUGUUAGUCUGCCAGGAAUACAAUUUACACGUUUCAGAGUGCUGCUGUAAAUAAAUCGAUUUCUUCCAUGAACAGUUGAUACUGGGAAUAGUUAAAUCAUCAGCAUCAUAUGAAAUUCAGCUAUUUAUUUGGAUAUAAUUUGGCUGUCUGUUAUUGAGAUACAUCACAAUACUUAACGAUAACAUAUCUCUGAUAUAAAAACCUUUCAUUACAGAAUAAUUAACCUGAAAUUUGAGUUGUGCGUGUUUAUGAAUUAUUGGUUACUAAAUAGA